rnacentral:rRNA from 1 species
CGUAGGUGCGAGCGUUGUCCGGAAUUACUGGGCGUAAGAGCUCGUAGGUGGUUUGUCGCGUCGUCUGUGAAAUCCCGGGCUUAACUUCGGGCGUGCAGGCGAUACGGGCAUAACUAGAGUGCUGUAGGGAGACUGGAAUUCCUGGUGUAGCGGUGAAAUGCGCAGAUAUCAGGAGGAACACCGAUGGCGAAGGCAGGUCUCUGGGCAGUUACUGACGCUGAGGAGCGAAGGCAUGGGUAGCGAACAGGAUU